rnacentral:misc_RNA from 1 species
UGGGGCCUUCCUAAUGUUCUAUGUUGUCGCUAUAGCCCCCGGUUGUAGUACAAGCUAUUCAAUUCUUUUAACAUUCUGGUGUUCUCUUCCUUUUUGUCUUUUUAACAGGUUGAUUCUUUUGCUUUUGCUCGUGAUAGUGAAAUACAUGAAGCUGCACGCAGAAUUGUGUCAGUUUUAUUGAAACAGACUGAUUGAUUUGAACAGAACAAGAAAAUGGGUGUCAUUGCUGCUUCAAAUAGAAAACAAGACCUUGUUCCUGCUUUGAUUCGGUAUAGGGCAUGAGCUGAAGUAAUAUUAGGCAUGUGUGUCAACAAGCUGAAAGGUCAUGGGCAUCAACAGUAACUAUUUCUCAUAAUUUUGUUUUUUAAUUUUCAAAUGAUAUUAUUAACCAGCCUAUAUUCAUGGCCUUGACAGAUAAUUCGAGGACAAGCAGAUAAAUAUGGAGAGAAAGGGUGGCUUCCACCUUUGCCAGAAUAUAUUGUAAGUGCAACGAAUGGAAGAAAGGCUCUACAUAGCUAGCAAUGCAGAUCAAAGAAGUCCAGGUUUUAAUAGAGGUCAAUUAGAUUUAAGUUAAGAGUAGGUGAAGAUAGGAUGAUAAUAAAUACUCAACUGCCAAAUACUUGAGGCAUAAAAUAAUUAAGUAUCAAUAUGAAGCUCACAUUGUUUCAGAUUGACCAGAAAGAAGACGAGUAGAAACAAAGGAUGUGCCAUUGUAUACUUCAAAAGCUGAAGUUGCAUUGUAGCAAACUUAGCAAUAAAGCUCCUUUCCUGUAGUCACGAACACACACAAAUAAACGACACAUUUGAGUAAAGAUAAUCUUUUGAUUGAAGAAAGAGAGAUCAAGACUUUGCCUUGGAGAGAUGCCUGAUUCAUCUUCCAUUUCUUCAGCUCGCUUCCUUUUCUUACUCGGCCCCUUCCCUGCGACAAUCAAUGCGAUCUGCAACUGAGUCCCCAACAUCAGGCGAGUCAAUUCGGCCUCCAACUCCAUCCGCCUCUUCUCUGCCUCGCACCGCCAAGUCUCCCUCGCCCUGGUCAUCUCUGUCUCAGCCAGAUCCAUUCUCGCUAGCGACUCAGAGAAGACACGUAAACUGGCCGCCAGAUCCUCCAGACGCGGCGACUUGCAGCUCUCGGAGUCAAAACUUGGUGUGCUAUUAGAAUCUUCGCCGUCGAGGUCAUUGGCGUUGAAAUCGUCCGUUAAGAUUCCGGCGUCACAGGCGUACUUCAACCGGUUCUCGUCGUUGCGUGCAGCCACGUUUGGUCUGGUUGGACCCGGUGGCUCUGCCAUUAAGCAUCUAGGAUCUAGAUACAUUUGCUAUGCCAAAACCGUUAAAUUGUGGGUGCGGGUUUUGCAUCUGCGAAUGACAAAGUUUUGUUUUGGAGGGCCCAUUGGGCCGCAGCCACACUAAAGUUUCGUGAGCAGGUAGAUUGGAUCUCCCUUUUCCUUGACAACCAAAAUAAUGCAAAUAUAUGAAAAAGUAUCAAGUUUCCCAUUUGACGUGGCAGAGAGUUCUUAAUCCUGCGUGUAACCCCGCGGGAGAUAAGAGUAAUCCAGCGACGCGCUUUUUCAGAGCGUGUCUGAGUUCUCAUAAAUUAUUAGCAAAGGAAAUACCGAAAUAUUGGACUGCUAGAACCACCGUCGUGUUUCUCCUUUUCUUCGUAUUCGUCCUUCAAUCCUAUCAGAGGAAUCUAAUGGCAUCGCGAGACAAGAAAUCAGUAAAACCAUCCAGCAGUCGUGCCGGCGGUAUCCGCACUCUCUCCGAUCUUAACAGGCACGCCGGCCCCGAUUCCGACAGCGACGAUGAUGCUCCUCAAGAGUAC